rnacentral:rRNA from 1 species
CACGUAGGCGGGUUCGUCAGCCAAUUGUGAAAGCCCAGGGCUUAACCCUGGAAUUGCAGUUGGAACUGCGAAUCUUGAAUACCUGAGAGGAUGAGGGAAUUCCUGGUGUAGAAGUGAAAUUCGUAGAUAUCAGGAGGAACACCCGAGGCGAAGGCGCUCGUCUGGCAGUGUAUUGACGCUGAGGUGCGAAAGCGUGGGUAGCAAACA